rnacentral:rRNA from 1 species
AUGGUGGAACAUGAUUCAACUCUAGGGCAUGUAACAGGCGAGGGUGGUUUUCCUCUCCUUAAUGCUGCGGCAGGUCGAGGUCGGGUAGCUGCUGCACGAAAGCUUCUGGAACACUGCCCCGAUGCUCCUUGUCUUGAACCAGAUGGUUCGACAUGUCUUCAUACAGCUAUAUGGAAUGAUCAACCGGAGUUCGUUGAGUUUGUCCUGAGGACGCCAACACUUCGCAGGCUUGUUAACGUGCAAGACAACAAUGGACUUACUGCUCUACAUUAUGCAGUCCGAAAGUGCAAUCCUAGAAUAGUUGCUGCUUUAUUGUCUCACGUGGAUAUAGAUGCGACAUUGCUUGACAAAGACGGUGAUUCAGCAAUCUGGGAACUAUCCGGGACUAACGUCAUGCAGACUGCCAAGACUUUAAACUGGAAUGAAGUGACCAUGCUUAUGGCGAAAGCUAAUCCACGGGAUGCUCCCAUUCUUCGUAAUCUUCAAAUAAGUGCCAAGCGAAGGAUGAUUCUUGCAUCAAGGAAGGAUGCAAAGUCACUAACUCAAACAUACACAAGCAACACUUCGUUAGUGGCGAUUCUUAUUGUGACAAUCACCUUUGCUGCUGCCUUCACCCUGCCAGGAGGAUACAGCGAUGAUGCAGGAAGCAAGGGACUUCCCAUCAUGUCUAGGAAGUUUGCAUUUCAGGCAUUCUUGAUUUCUGACGUCUUAGCAAUGUGCUCCUCAUUUGCUGUGGCCUUCAUAUGCAUUAUAGCAAAGUGGGAGGAUUAUGAGUUCUUGGUUUAUUACAGAUCCUUCACUAAGAAGCUCAUGUGGUUUGCAUACGUGACAACAACUACUGCCUUUUCAACUGGUUUAUACACAGUGCUGGCUCCACGUAUCCACUGGUUGGCUAUUGCAGUUUGUCUUAUGGUAGCUUUACUGCCCAUUCUCACGAAGCUGCUGGGCGAGUGGCCAAUCUUGAAGCUCAGAUUAAAGUUGGGUAAAGAUUUCAAGUCUGAUUUCCUUGACAUGGUGUGA